ensembl:lncRNA
CCGGGGAGGAUGGAGGAAGGUCUGGGAAAGGGAGAGGAUGCGGGGAGGUCUGGGAGAGGAGACAAGGGAGGAUGGGGAAGUUCUGGGAGAGGGAGAGGAGACAGGGAAGGAUGGUGGAGGUCUGGGAGAGGGAGAGGAGACGGGGAGGAUGGAAAGAGCUCUCGGUGAGGUGAGGAGACAGGGGAGGAUGGGGGAAGUCUGAGAAAGGGGGAGGAUGCGGGGAGGUCUGGGAGAGGGAGAGGAGAUAGGGGAGGAUGGGAGGAGGUCUGGGAGAGGGGGAGGAUGCGGGGAGGUUUGGGAGAGGGAGAGGAGACAGGGGAGGAUGGGAGAAGGUCUGGGAGAGGGAGAGGAGACGGGGAGGAUGGGAGGAGGUCUGGGAGAGGGAAAGGAGACGGGAGGAUGGGAGAAGGUCUGGGAGAGGGAAAGGAGACGGGAGGAUGGGAGAAGGUCUGGGAGAGGGAAAGGAGACGGGAGGAUGGGAGAAGGUCUGGGAGAGGGAGAGGAGAUAGGGGAGGUUGGGAGGAGGUCUGGGAGAGGGGAGGAUGGGGAGGUUUGGGAGAGGG